rnacentral:rRNA from 1 species
UACGUAGGGGGCAAGCGUUAUCCGGACUUACUGGGUGUAAAGGGGGCGCAGACGGCAGCGCAAGCCAGGAGUGAAAGCCCGGGGCCCAACCCCGGGACUGCUCUUGGAACUGCGCGGCUGGAGUGCAGGAGGGGCAGGCGGAAUUCCUGGUGUAGCGGUGAAAUGCGUAGAUAUCAGGAGGAACACCGGUGGCGAAGGCGGCCUGCUGGACCGCGACUGACGUUGAGGCCCGAAAGCGUGGGGAGCAAACAGG